rnacentral:lncRNA from 1 species
AGAUAAACUAUUCUUCUCCACCACGAAUCGAGCCUCGCUAAAGGAGGUUAUCAUCAAAAGGGAGAGAAGCAGCCAUGGGAGAAAACACAGAAGCUGCUUCUUCAUCUUCGAGAUCUCCGCCUCAAAUCAACUCGAACUCAAACUCAAAGGAUUCAAUCAAAGAUUAGAGAGCAGAUCAUUCAAAACGAGAUGAUUGAAUUUGAAAUCGUCGACGUCUUCGUCUGUGCUAGAUGAUUGUGGAUUCGUGUGUGAAAGAGUUGGGAGAAAAUAGAGUUUUCUCGAGUGUUUUCCCGAGAAAAUAGAGAUUUUUUUUUGUUUGUUCAACGUCUUAGAUGGGAGUGGAAGACUAAAGACGAAGACGCAGAGUCAAAAACUCAAAGACACAUAUCGACGACGAAACUAAUUUUUUAAUAAAUUCUUAUCGAGACAAUGUAAAUACAAAAUAAAACAAU